rnacentral:misc_RNA from 1 species
AAAGCAUAAAAAAGUAUUAGGUUGUGUGAGAAUUUCUGUCCGAGUCUUUCUCCCUCAAAUCAGUUUCCACUGAAUCUAUAAUCCUACCUCUCUCUCUUCUGAAUCAUUUUUUUUUUUGCACACCAAAGACUUCAUUUUUAUGUAGCUCUUUGUUAUUCUGGGGAAUGAGAUAGGCAUCAAAAACACCAACUGCGAGCAACCAAAAGAUUAAACCAAAAUUACAUUACUCUCCAACGUUUGCAUCUCUGCAAAAUUCCCAAAUGGACAAACCCUUAUACAUUAAUCGCUUUCGUUACCAUUUUUCAAUCACCAAACUCGUCUUCUGGACCUGCAUUUUCCUUGGCCUUAUCCUCCUCUUCUUCCUACACUCCCCUCAUUCUUCUUCUUCCUCCUCCCAACGCCGCUUUCUGGCCGAUCCCGAUUGGGAGAUCCGGGUGAUCAAAUCGGGAAAGCCCAGGUCUCGAGCAGGCGGCCUCAAAGUUCUUGUCACUGGGGCUGCUGGAUUCGUCGGCACCCACGUCUGUGCGGCAUUGCGCCGCCGUGGGAACGGCGUAGUUGGCCUUGACAAUUUUAAUGCCUACUAUGACCCUUCUUUGAAGCAAGCCCGUCGCUCCCUCUUAGAACGCGCAGACGUAUUUAUUGUGGAUGGGGAUAUCAAUAACCCUACUCUGUUAAAGAAGCUCUUUGAUUUGGUUCAAUUCACUCACGUAAUGCACCUUGCAGCCCAAGCAGGGGUCCGUUACGCGAUGAAAAACCCCGCAUCAUAUGUUCACAGCAAUGUUGCUGGUUUUGUUAGUCUACUCGAGGUCUGCAAGUCAGCAAAUCCCCAGCCUGCAAUUGUGUGGGCGUCUUCCAGUUCUGUCUAUGGACUCAAUACUAAAGUUCCCUUCUCGGAAAAAGAUCGAACGGAUCAGCCGUCGAGUCUAUAUGCUGCUACCAAGAAGGCUGGUGAGGAAAUUGCACACACUUAUAAUCAUAUCUACGGUUUAUCAAUCACUGGUUUGCGGUUUUUCACUGUUUAUGGUCCCUGGGGGCGACCUGAUAUGGCUUAUUUCUCUUUUACAAAGGAUAUAUUGAAAAGAAAGCCAAUAACGAUUUUUGAGGGGCCUGAUCAUUUCUCUGUGGCAAGGGAUUUUACAUACAUUGAUGAUAUAGUAAAGGGUUGCUUGGGUGCAUUGGACACUGCAAAGAAGAGUACUGGAAGUGGUGGGGUUAAGAAGGGACCUGCCCAAUUGAGAGUGUUUAAUCUUGGAAAUACUUCGCCUGUGCCGGUUAACAAGCUUGUGAAUAUAUUGGAGAAGCUGUUGAAGGUUAAGGCCAAGAAAAUCGUGCUGCCAAUGCCCGCAAAUGGUGAUGUGUUGUUUACUCAUGCGAAUAUCAGCUUGGCGCAGAGGGAGCUUGGGUACAAGCCAACCACUGAUUUGCAAACGGGGUUGAAGAAAUUUGUGCGGUGGUAUUUGGAUUACUACACACGAUCAGGGAAGAAAAGUAAUGUGUAAAUGUUGCUGCUUUUUAUGGAUCUGUGGUAGGAUCAUUUGAAUCUAUAUUGGUUUGAUUCUUAUGAUAUCUCACUUUAUCGUUCAUUUAGCUAUAUACUGCUGUGAUAAUAGGGUUAAUUAUUGAACCACCAUAGAGGAAUUUCGUGGAUGAUAUGCAUGCUUUUAGAGAAUUCCUGAAGUGUAAUUUGAGAUUAGAAAUUUCUUCUUUGUUUCACUCAUUGCUUUUUAAUUCUUAAUUUUUUUUAUUAGAAGCUACUGUUACUCUAGGCAUUGUCUAUGAUGAACUAAAUUAUUGUGAUUGUCAACCAGAAUUACAAGUGAACAUCUUGUUUUGCGGUUUUAUCAAGUCGUUAUCUAUAUUGUGUUUCAUUACCAUUGUGUGAAAGGGGAAAGCAGAGUUUGGUUGUAUUUAUUUUCUUGUUGCUUUUGCAUAGACCCUUGAUGGUUUGCAGUGGCUUUCAUGUUGUGAUUUUUCAUGUUAUGGUUGGCUCUGUUAUAUUGAAUGAGGAAUUACGAGUUUUCUUUUUACUCAAUUUUAGUUCACCAAAUGGUAAAAGAUUGGAUACAAUUUAAAGAUUGAAUUUCAGCAUGUAUUAUGUUGAAAUGAGCAUAUGAAUCCAAAAUAAAUUUUCUCUCUCGCUGGCUUAUAUAUGAUCAUGGAUAAUGCAAACUUGGUAGGUUUGAUUACACAAUUCCAUGUAAGGUGUAUUAUAUCAAAUAUAGUGAGUGUCUAAGUUGAAAUUUGUUGUUGUAGAUUUCCAUUGCUAUCCAUUAUACACUAUCAUGCAAAGUUUAAUUUUGUUCAAUACCAAAUGUGAAAUUCAUAUAUAUGUAGUCAACAUCUGUAUUGAAAAUUCAUUUGGUCGUUUAAUCAAUGAUAGACUAUAUAGUUGUAGGCUAAGAGGUAGUCAUAGUUACCAUAUUUGAAAGUGUAUUCUGAGAGAUGGACAGAUUUCGAUUUUUUUUAACCCCCAGAACAUGAUUCUGCUGUAGUUUCAAAAAUUAUGAUAUCCCUUCAUGCUGUAUAGAAGUUGUGGAAGCAAUUUCUGCUCUAUUUCUUAAGAAACAUCGUAUUGCACUAGUAGCACUUCUGUAGCUUGAUAAGAGAGUUAGUGAAGUCUAAUGAAAAGGUAAACUGCACAUCAAAAUACAGCCACUUCCGAAUAUUGUAUUCUGAAAGAGUUAUAGGAACAAAGUUCCUGUAUUAAGGGAAGUAGUUCUCUUUGUUUAGGUACAAGCUCAUUGUGAAAGAGAAUUUGAAAGAGUUACGAGAACAAAGUUCUCUGUAUAAUAUUAGUAAUUCUAUGUGUUUAGGUACAAGUUGCUUAUCAUGAAAAAGAAUUUGGUAAUGUCCCAACUCAAUGUGGAAAGCUAUAAUCCCAACUAAUUUGGAAGCAGCUAAUAAAUGGUUAUGCAUUUAUGUAAAAACGGUGCAAUAUUCUUUUCUUGUGCGUGUUCGUGUGUGUGUUUUUUUCUUGCCAUAUAUAGUGGAUGUGCUCUCUAUCGUUUGACAUGUUGCGUGGAUAUCUUUCUCACUUUUGAGUACUUGAUUUGAAGCUUUCCUUCAUGGAUGCACGAUUAUUUAGUUGUUUGAAAAGCCUGCUCUUAUUCUUUAUUUAACUGUUCACCCCAGGAAAGAGUAAUUCUGUUUAUGUGCUUUCUACACUCUUUGCCUUUGGAUUAAGCUAUGCUGUUUCAAAGUAUAUCAUAUAAUUUUGAUAUUAAAGAUUGAAUUUGUAUUAUUUCUUUUUUUUGACCCACCAACAACUUUUUUAUUUUAAUUUUUAGAUGGGUGAAUGAGGACGUUGAUUUGCUAGGUUCAAACGCUGAAUGGGAAUGGUAAUUCAUUUAUCUUGUAGAGCUGUGUAUUGGGACAAAGUCGAUGCUUUCUGGUGGUGGUUCAACUACUGCUUGUGUGUGGUAUGUGUUUACAGUUGCCUGAUUUUCUACCAUGUUUCAUUUUCAGAUGAAAUUUCAGUGGGUUCCAUUAACCAAUUCAGGGUUGUUUUCAUCCAGAAUAAGAAAGUGGAAAUUUCUCAAAUUCAAUACGCUUGUUACAGGAUCUAACCAGUGUCUCAACUUUAAUAAACAAGAGGACUUCAUGUUUCGGGAAUUCUUGUGGUUGUACCAGGGAUUUCUCCCUAAUACGAAGUGUUACACUCUGGUUACUUCUAUCUAGAUUCAGUUUAGUUCCAAGUCUGCUCUUGGCCUGUAUCUUGAGCACAAAAUUGAGUUCAAGCAUAAUCAAAUAACCAUAAUAAAAGGGUAUCUUUCUCCAAGGUUCUUCAAUUCUGAUCUUAUGAGUUAAAAAUCCCCUGCCUGCUGCGGCAUCUCGAAACACAAACACAGAAGG